UAGCAAUAUGUGGCAUACGGCUCAGUAACACGUAGUCAACAUGCCCAGGGGACGUGGAUAACCUCGGGAAACUGAGGAUAAACCGCGAUAAGUCACUACUUCUGGAAUGGGUAAUGACUUAAACCUAUAUGGCCCCUGGAUUGGACUGCGGCCGAUCAGGCUGUUGGUGAGGUAAUGGCCCACCAAACCUGUAACCGGUACGGGCUCUGAGAGGAGGAGCCCGGAGAUGGGCACUGAGACAAGGGCCCAGGCCCUAUGGGGCGCAGCAGGCGCGAAACCUCUGCAAUAGGCGAAAGCCUGACAGGGUUACUCUGAGUGAUUUCCGUUAAGGAGAUCUUUUGGCACCUCUAAAAAUGGUGCAGAAUAAGGGGUGGGCAAGUCGGGUGUCAGCCGCCGCGGUAAUACCAGCACCCCGAGUGGUCGGGACGUUUAUUGGGCCUAAAGCAUCCGUAGCCGGUUCUGCAAGUCUUCCGUUAAAUCCACCUGCUUAACAGAUGGGCUGCGGAAGAUACUAUAGAGCUAGGAGGCGGGAGAGGCAAGCGGUACUCGAUGGGUAGGGGUAAAAUCCGUUG
rnacentral:rRNA from 1 species